rnacentral:tRNA from 9 species
CUCUCUACCAAAGGAUAAUAGUAUUCC